CCAAAAACCUGUUCACGAUUCAAGAGCUCAGGUGACCGCGACCUAGUACCAAAUCACUGCAAUGACAAUUUUAAAGCGUCUAAACAAAUGGGCCGCCAUUCUUGGUAUUUUAAAGAUAUUCCGGCUCUUAAAUCAUUCUCCGACACAAUCCACAACAAUAGCCACGACACUGCGGAGAAUCGCACUAUAUAGUACUUUUCAUUUUAUCCAAAAAAUUGGUUCAAAUGCUUUCUCUUCUAUACGAUGACAAAACAAUCGCCUGUAUAUAGUUCAAUAACCAAUAGAGAGGCCUGCGGAGGAGGCUUGAAACGCGUACACACAUACAUAUAGGCGUACGGGAAGGAAAAAUUAGCAGGGGGGGGGGAAGAAAUUUGCCCGACUUUUCCCGCUUAUUAAAUAAUUUAGCGCUUUCUCAAUUCUCCCGAAGUUCGGACGAAGCCAUUGCUUGUUUAAUAAACUCAUUAUCAUAGCAUUAAUAACACAGAUCCUUUGCCGUCAAUCAAGCGAAAUAAUUGACAAAUCAGAAUUUUCCGUCCACCAUGUAGUGGGCGGACAGUAUUUCAAGCUUCCCUGCCAUUGCGUACCCGCUAAUACCGCCUGCUAUGCAGGCUAUACUAUCAACUAAAACCUACACAUUGAUUUCACAUUUCGACACCUUAUUUUUCACCCUGCUCGGUUUCCUUUGUUCUUAUCGGGGAAUAUAUUCAAUAUUCCCCUCUAAUCAAUUUCCUCUAAUAACCCUCUCUAAUAUUCUGCUACCUUUACUGGUAAUGAACACUAAAAUAAUCUGCUAAUAAUAAUAUGUUCUCAAUUUAGUAUUAUUUGAUGAUAAAAAAUAAUAUUAUGUUAAACUUAUAAUAAAGCGGCUAUGAAUUAUUCGCAAACAUGUGCCCUCAAGGUAUCGGAUAAAGAGAGUGCCAAGCAGACUCACAAGUCAUUAGCUACGCUGCUUUAAUAGAGAAGAAGCCAAUUUUUUUUUCUUCUUUGUGACAACUAUUGACUUAGUUCGGUGUGAUAAGGUGCAGACCAUUUACCAUUUAAAUCAUGACUUUAUUAAACCACUGAAACUGGUAAAAUUGGUAGGUACAACAGGUUACUCCCAACGUUCGGUGGUCAGGUCCUGAAUGGGCAGGUUCACAUGUUUCAGACCUGAAUCCAAGUAACUCAAAUCCCUAUAUAUCAUUAGCUGACCACGUCUGCACCUAACCAUCCACACAGGUAAGUUGGUUCUCUCACGCACGAGGAGUGUGGAAUAAUGAAAUUCUCUGUGUUCGGUCAAUCUUAAAUGACAUAGCCUGCGUGGCAGGCC
rnacentral:lncRNA from 1 species